UGUGUGAGAAGCAGAGGAAGAAGCAGACUCCCUGUUGAGCAGGGAGCCCAGCCCAACUCAGGACUCCAUCCCAGGACCUUGGGAUCAUGAUCUGAGUCAAAGGCAGACACUUACCUGACUGAGCUAGGCGCCCCAUUCUCCAGCCCUUUUCCAGAGGGCGUUGAGCACAGUCUGAAGUCUGUUCACAUCCUUUACAGAGCUAGGGUGGAUGAGUCUUGGAAAUACAGAAAGCAGGCAACUAAGAAGUCAUAGACAGCAACUGAAUGACAAUACUAUAACACUGUCUUCUGUUUUCAACUGCUUAUUUUUGCAAGGUGUGUUAUUCAGCAUGCACAUGUGCACAAGCAAUAACAGCAUAUCAGCUUUAGACGUGGAAAUGUCACAGAUUUAUUUAUCUUAGAGAAAGAGCGCAAACGAGAGUGCACAACUGCAAAAGGGAGGGACAAAAGAAAAGAAUCUUCAAGCAGACUCCCCACUGAGCACGGGGCUCAGUGCCACAACCCAUGAGAUCACGACCUGGUCCAAAACCAAGAGUCAGACUUUCAAACAACUGAGCCACCCAGGUACCUCAGUCUUUCUAAUUAUUGAAAGAUUGAGUGGCUUUUCAUAUUUUUGGUAUAUGACUUUUUCCCAUGAGUUCUUAAGGGAUAUAAUUUUGAUAAUUAAAUGUGCUAUGUGCUAUUUUAUCCAUUUCUAUGAUAU